UGCUGAAGGGGCCAGAGACCAUCUACCUGUGUGAGUUUCUGCAAGACCUGCUCCCUGCAUUUCUGGCUGAUUUCCACCUGGCCCGGAAGGGCGGGGCCCUGUCUCUCUCCAGCUACAAAAGCAGCAACUGCUGAAGGGGCCAGAGACCAUCUACCUGUGUGAGUUUCUGCAAGACCUGCUCCCUGCAUUUCUGGCUGAUUUCCACCUGGCCUGGAAGGGCGGGGCCCUGUCUCUCUCCAGCUACAAAAGCAGCAACUGCUGAAGGGGCCAGAGACCAUCUACCUGUGUGAGUUUCUGCAAGACCUGCUCCCUGCAUUUCUGGCUGAUUUCCACCUGGCCCGGAAGGGCGGGGCCCUGUCUCUCUCCAGCUACAAAAGCAGCAACUGCUGAAGGGGCCAGAGACCAUCUACCUGUAUGGUGUGGAUCACAGAACUGUGGAGAACUGAAUUGAAGAUUUGGAAAAAUGAGAAACUGAAAUAUUUUAAAAACUGGUGUGGAAAUGGUACAGAAUGAACAUAUGUGAAAGUGACCCACAGAAUAGAAAUAGACUGAUGUAUCCACCUUUAGUGAAGAAUAACAAAUAUAGUUUUGAUUCCAUGAAGAUAAAGAUCCAGCAGUCAAUUAAGAGAAAACUCACUUGAACCAAGUGUUGAGAGUACUGUGAUCAAACUGAAAUAAAAAUGAAGAGUGAUGGGUAUUUUAUACCCAACUCCAUUCCUGUCUGUUCAGAAGGGAUGAACAGACCAACACACACUGCACACAGGACACCACUUGUGCAAGUCUCCAGGUUUUGAAACUAAGGGCCCUGUGAUGUUCCUGAUUUGCAAUGUAAAUAUGAAUACAAGACCAGAGUACAACCCAGAAAGAGCCUAAUUCAGUACCUGAAAUGUAACUGGCUUUAAGGAAGAAGGGAGCAUGGACCAAUGAUGGAGGAAUGCCUGUGGACUGCCUACACUGGAAGAUCUGCAGCAAUGCAUCUGAGCAAAGGAACUAUAAUGCAAUUGACAAUUGAUACAGCGAAGCUUAUCGGUUUUUCAGUGGUAUGCCAAAUGUGGAUUUAUCAAUGUGGAAAUUCAUAAUAGCAUGCAAAAUCAUAUUGACAACAGUGAAUUAAUGAGGACACAAGGGAAUUACAUUGCAGAUUAUACAGUGGUAUGGAUGGGCCCUAAGAGACAGCUGCUAAAUGUAUCAAACUCAACAGGUGUUUUUAUCUGGAGUCAAUGUGGGGGCAGAGUGCUCUUUUUUAUUAUGAUGAUGUAUCUACUUCGCAACAGU